rnacentral:rRNA from 1 species
GACGAACCGUGCGAACGUUGUUCGGAAUCACUGGGCUUAAAGGGCGCGUAGGCGGCCCGCCGCGUCCGGGGUGAAAUCCUCCCGCUCAACGGGAGAACGGCCUCGGAUACGGGCGGGCUGGAGGCGGGUAGGGGCAGGCGGAACUGUGGGUGGAGCGGUGAAAUGCGUAGAGAUCGGGAGGAACACCUGCGGCGAAAGCGGCUCACUGGACCAUAACUGACGCUGAUGCACGAAAGCUAGGGGAGCAAACAGG